AUACGGAGGGUGCAAGCGUUAAUCGGAAUUACUGGGCGUAAAGCGUACGUAGGCGGUUAGUUAAGUUAGAUGUGAAAGCCCCGGGCUUAACCUGGGAACUGCAUUUAAAACUGGCUAACUAGAGUUAAGUAGAGGGGAGUGGAAUUUCAGGUGUAGCGGUGAAAUGCGUAGAGAUCUGAAGGAACACCAGUGGCGAAGGCGACUCCCUGGACUUGAACUGACGCUGAGGUACGAAAGCGUGGGGAGCGAACAGGAUUAGAAACCCUAGUAGUCC
rnacentral:rRNA from 1 species